rnacentral:rRNA from 1 species
AUACGGAGGGGGCUAGCGUUGUUCGGAAUUACUGGGCGUAAAGCGCGCGUAGGCGGAUUGAUCAGUCAGGGGUGAAAUCCCGAGGCUUAACCUCGGAACUGCCUUUGAUACUGUCAAUCUUGAGUUCGAGAGAGGUGAGUGGAAUUCCUAGUGUAGAGGUGAAAUUCGUAGAUAUUAGGAAGAACACCAGUGGCGAAGGCGGCUCACUGGCUCGAUACUGACGCUGAGGUGCGAAAGCGUGGGGAGCAAACAGGAUUAGAAACCCCUGUAGUCC